AUUGAACGCUGGCGGAAUGCUUUACACAUGCAAGUCGAACGGCAGCACGGACUUCGGUCUGGUGGCGAGUGGCGAACGGGUGAGUAAUGUAUCGGAACGUGCCCAGUCGUGGGGGAUAACGUAGUGAAAAUUACGCUAAUACCGCAUACGAUCUAUGGAUGAAAGCGGGGGAUCGCAAGACCUCGCGCGAUUGGAGCGGCCGAUAUCAGAUUAGGUAGUUGGUGGGGUAAAGGCCCACCAAGACAACGAUAUGUAGCUGGUCUGAGAGGACGACCAGCCCUACUGGAACUGAGACCCGGUCCAGCCUCCUCCGGGAGGCAGCAGUGGGGAAUUUUGGACAAUGGGCGAAAGCCUGAUCCAGCCAUUCCGCGUGCAGGAUGAAGGCCCUCGGGUUGUAAACUGCUUUUGUACAGAACGAAAAGGUUUCUACUAAUACUAGGAGCUCAUGACGGUACUGUAAGAAUAAGCACCGGCUAACUACGUGCCAGCCGCCGCGGUAA
rnacentral:rRNA from 1 species